GACAUCAUAUGGGUAUUAGGAAUGAUAAGAAGUGUUCCAUGCAUGUAUAGCCCAUUUGGAGGAAUAUAACCCCUUGAUUAAAAUAGACAUUGGCGAUAAUUAAGACAAGGUUGUAAAAGAUAUAGAAAUUUGUUUAUCUUUCAAUGACCGUUCGAGUUUAUAAUAAUUGUCUGUUUCCACCUGAUGUUUUUGUGUUACUACGAUAGAGAAAUUCCAUUAUAGUUCGUCGGUGGAUAUGAAAACUCAAAAGUUGCAGAAGAGAAAAGUAUCUUGAGGGAAAUCCGUCGUGACCUGAAACUUUAACGUGAUAUUCAUUUUGAUAUGAAAAAGGAACCUAAUAUCAGGAUUUCUUGGCCUGUGACAACCACAAGAAGGGUGACCAUGGACCCCGGAUGCCCCGCGUAUGAUAACACUUCUUAGUAUGGCGUACCGGCCACUGUCGGACGGACGAUUCUGUAGGUGAGGGUGCGCGUCGGUUUCCCACGUGUAUUUCCCGCAUUUACUCCCGAGUCUUCGAAUUGGACGGACUGUAAAGCACAAGUGAGUGAAGUGAAGAGCAUAGGAAAUUACGAUUGAUAUGGAGAGUACACGCUGAAAUAAUAAAUCAUGAUAUUUGUUUGUCAUCAUGAUCUUUGAAAUAAAACACCUUAAAAAGUGUUGCAAUAGUUCUUAUUUGUGUCUUCGGAAAAUAACUUCUUUUUUCGUUUUGGAAAAAUUACAUAAUGUCAGUUAAAGGAUAGCUUUUCUUAUAUCUGUAAAAAAAAAAAAAAAAAAAAAAAAAAAAAAAAAAAAAAAAAAAAAAAAAAAAAAACAAUAAUAAUAAUAAUAAUAAUACGGCAACAAUUACUGUCACAGUGAACAGGGAAAUCUACCAUUGUGUUCCAGUGUCAGUGAAAUAAUGGGAGAACCUCAGUCAAGCAAACAAUGCAGACCACUCAGAAGUAAACACUGUGAUGAUGGAGUCAUUGAUUUAUAAUAAUUCAGGCGUUUGAGGAUCAAGCUGAAAGAUAUCCUACUGUAUUCUACUCAGGAAAUGUAAUGGAAUGUACUUACCAAAACCUAAGACACUAAUAGAAGAGUGAAUAUCGUAUCUGCUCAUAUCCUGUGCCAUACACAACCUGCCACGAAGAUUUUGGCUCGAUUUGACCUGCGACAGACGAUGGAGUGCGAAGCUGCGUUUCCUCAGCCUUACUGCUCUGGCCUGGUGGCUGGUAUAGACUUGGGCAACGUCAUCGAAUUUUCACCAAGGACAGCAGAGUUCGAAAAUUCAUUUAAAGAUAAGGUAUCAUUGGAAGAGACACCCCACACCUACAAAAACAAAAUCUGAGCUUACCAAACAGUAGAACACAUUCUAUGAAAGGUUUCUUCUAUAGUAAUUUCUUCACAAAAUGAUAACAACGGAAAUAAAGGUGUAAAAUCCAGAAAAUGAAGCAACCUUACGCCUCGAGCGCCGCAAAAAAAUUACAAAAAGUCGUUGAAAGCGACGAUAUAUCGGACGGAUACGUAGCGCAUGACGUAAGCGAGGGAAAUCAAAUGAGCCAAUUAGAUUUGCGCUGGAACGUGGCGUGACCAUAGGCAGUGACGUCCAGCUCAAUGGAACCAAUCAUAUUAAAAAUAGAUCAUCACGUGACAAUAGAAGCUGGGCCUAGGAGAAGGCAGUUCCAUCAUGGCUAAGCAGUGUGUCGGGUGUGUAAAUAAUUACUUCGACCUCAUUGCGGAAAUAUUCCCUCCGCUUUCCGAUAAGGGACGUCGGAUAGCGAUCACGAUUCCCGCUAGCAACGACCAGGACGACCCCGACGAUCCCAGUGACCCGAAGCCUGGCCUGUCUGGAGUUAAUGCUUAAGGUAAGGUGUGGGUAAAACUGUUACUGGGUCUGGGCUCUCUCCUGCCGGAACAUAUGAAAAAAAUGGGAUUUAAGGGGGCGAAGCCUCCUCUAUAAUCUGGAAGCUAGUGGAUAUAUUCCCUCCCGUGUAUUACCGAUAUUUUUCGAAAUUUCCCCCCCAAAUUCCUUUAUAUGUAUCAUGCCCUCCCCAGCUAUCGUAGCUGUGCUUCGUUUGCGGAGGAAAUGAGUGCUUGAUUCGGUCGAAACACGAAGAAAACUAUUGGAAAAAAUAUAUAUCGUUCAUCGGAAAAUCGGUGUGGGGCGUCUCCUCCAAAUUUCCCAAAGAUAAACAUUAUCACAAAUUUUUGACAGUCACCCAGUUGCCAUCAUCAGGCUGAAACAGAGAAUAGUUUUAAAUAGUAUACAUACUCCAUACGGGAUAUAUCCUUCAAAUAAUCCGAGGGUCUGACAACGCCUGUUUUCGAAUCGACUUAAAAGGGGCUGUAUUGCUUUGAACAAUGCACAUUCAAGUAGUCCCCAUAAUACUUGCCAUAGAAUCUAAGUACUGCAAGUCAACCACAUUUGUUCCUGGCCUUUAAACUUUUCGUCUGAUCAGGUGGUGUUCGCAGUUGUUGCCAGCUUGUGCUGCUGCUCCUCGCGAAU